rnacentral:rRNA from 1 species
ACGCACGCUGGCGGCGUGCUUAACACAUGCCAGUCGCACGGAAAGGCCCUGCUUUUGUGGGGUGCUCGAGUGGCGAACGGGUGAGUAACACGUGAGUAACCUGCCCUUGACUUUGGGGUAACUUCAGGAAACUGGGGCUAAUACCGGAUAGGAGCUCCUGCUGCAUGGUGGGGGUUGGAAAGUUUCGGCGGUUGGGGAUGGACUCGCGGCUUAUCAGCUUGUUGGUGGGGUAGUGGCUUACCAAGGCUUUGACGGGUAGCCGGCCUGAGAGGGUGACCGGCCACAUUGGGACUGAGAUACGGCCCAGACUCCUACGGGAGGCAGCAGUGGGGAAUAUUGCACAAUGGGCGGAAGCCUGAUGCAGCAACGCCGCGUGCGGGAUGACGGCCUUCGGGUUGUAAACCGCUUUCGCCUGUGACGAAGCGUGAGUGACGGUAAUGGGUAAAGAAGCACCGGCUAACUACGUG